AAAACGACUCUCGGCAACGGAUAUCUCGGCUCUCGCAUCGAUGAAGAACGUAGCGAAAUGCGAUACUUGGUGUGAAUUGCAGAAUCCCGUGAACCAUCGAGUCUUUGAACGCAAGUUGCGCCCGAAGCUUUCGGGCUGAGGGCACGUCUGCCUGGG
rnacentral:rRNA from 1 species